rnacentral:lncRNA from 1 species
GUGAAGAUGCUGGGGUGCGUGUACCAGAGGGCUUCUGUGGGAUCGGCGGUGGCUGCGAACCGGGGCUUGGACCUUCCCCAGGCUUGCCUCAGCCCGCAGAGCACUGCGAGCCCCGCGGUGCUCUCGGCCUUCCUGGCAGCGCGGCAGCCCUCGUGCUAGCUUUCCCGCCUGUUCAGCAAUAGCGUUUGCUUGGCUCAGAUGAGCCAGAAUUGGCAGGAAGGAGGUUUUCCUCAGGCAGUUAUCUCUUCAGGGCUGGGUUUCUAUAUCAAAACAAAGCAGAAAGACAAAACCUCCUUUCUCGCUGCUACUCUGUCACACGGGGUAUGAGGGACACAAACCAGGGCAGCACAAAUGUGCUUGUUCCGCCCUUCCGCUGUUGGCAUGAGCAGCGUUCCUUGGAUGCUGCUGGGAGUGACAGUUUGAGGGGUGGCUGGAGGAGGACGUGCACGAUGAAGUGAUGAGUGAUCUCUGAAAUAUCUUGCUGAAACGCUGCAAAUUUCUUCAACGCAAGGAGAUGCUUCAGUAAAAUUAGCCCCAAAGUGCAGAGCUGCGCUGAGCUCGUGGCGCUGGCCUGCUGCCCCUCGCAGUGGGCACACAGCCUUGUCUGGGGCCCUUGGGCCCCUCACAGCUGAGCUGCAGGCCGGGGGGGCACGCUGCCACCGCUUGGGUGGGUGUUCUGCCCGUGUCAGACCGAGAGAAGCAUCCAUACCCCAAAACAGAGCAAACAAACAGCAAAGCCUUCUCUGCACAAACUAGAGGCUUACGCAACCUCUUGGAAAAUGAUGGGUGUUCCAAACCAGCAAAAGAUUCCUGGCACAGCUGCAGAGCUAGGUCUGCCAUCUUAUGGAGCCUGAAUGGUACUACCAAAUAACAGAAUGUGGAACUACGUGUUCAAAUCAGGAGAAUAGUUUGCAUUUUCUCCUUUUCAGGAGAGCUUGUUGGGUCAGAUAUCCAAACUGGAUCCCUGCAUGUGUAUCAUAUUCGUCUGACCUGCGAGGCCAC